UGACGGUGAAUGACUGCAGGA
rnacentral:piRNA from 1 species